GACGAACGCUGGCGGCGUGCUUAACACAUGCAAGUCGAGCGAGGAGCUUGCUCCUAGCGGCGAACGGGUGAGUAACACGUGGGCAACCUGCCCCAAGCUCUGGAAUAACUCCGGGAAACCGGGGCUAAUGCCGGAUAUGACAUCGCCGGGCAUCUGGUGGUGUGGAAAGAUUUAUCGGCUUGGGAUGGGCCCGCGGCCUAUCAGCUUGUUGGUGGGGUAAUGGCCUACCAAGGCGACGACGGGUAGCCGGCCUGAGAGGGCGAUCGGCCACACUGGGACUGAGACACGGCCCAGACUCCUACGGGAGGCAGCAGUGGGGAAUAUUGCGCAAUGGGCGAAAGCCUGACGCAGCGACGCCGCGUGAGGGAUGACGGCCUUCGGGUUGUAAACCUCUUUCAGCAGGGACGAAGCGAGAGUGACGGUACCUGCAGAAGAAGCACCGGCCAACUACGUGCCAGCCGCCGUAAAAC
rnacentral:rRNA from 1 species